rnacentral:rRNA from 1 species
GCAGGUCAUAGUGAUCCGGUGGUUCUGAAUGGAAGGGCCAUCGCUCAACGGAUAAAAGGUACUCCGGGGAUAACAGGCUGAUACCGCCCAAGAGUUCAUAUCGACGGCGGUGUUUGGCACCUCGAUGUCGGCUCAUCACAUCCUGGGGCUGAAGUAGGUCCCAAGGGUAUGGCUGUUCGCCAUUUAAAGUGGUACGCGAGCUGGGUUUAGAACGUCGUGAGACAGUUCGGUCCCUAUCUGCCGUGGGCGCUGGAGAACUGAGGGGGGCUGCUCCUAGUACGAGAGGACCGGAGUGGACGCAUCACUGGUGUUCGGGUUGUCAUGCCAAUGGCACUGCCCGGUAGCUAAAUGCGGAAGAGAUAAGUGCUGAAAGCAUCUAAGCACGAAACUUGCCCCGAGAUGAGUUCUCCCUGAGACUUAGAGUCUCCUGAAGGAACGUUGAAGACGACGACGUUGAUAGGCCGGGUGUGUAAGCGCAGCGAUGCGUUGAGCUAACCGGUACUAAUGAACCGUGAGGCUUAACCUU